rnacentral:rRNA from 1 species
AGCGAACGCUGGCGGCAGGCUUAACACAUGCAAGUCGAGCGGGCAUAGCAAUAUGUCAGCGGCAGACGGGUGAGUAACGCGUGGGAACGUACCUUUUGGUUCGGAACAACUGAGGGAAACUUCAGCUAAUACCGGAUAAGCCGUUAAGGGGAAAAAUUUAUCGCCGAAAGAUCGGCCCGCGUCUGAUUAGAUAGUUGGUGAGGUAAUGGCUCACCAAGGAGACGAUCAGUAGCUGGUCUGAGAGGAUGAUCAGCCACAUUGGGACUGAGACACGGCCCAAACUCCUACGGGAGGCAGCAGUGGGGAAUAUUGGACAAUGGGCGCAAGCCUGAUCCAGCCAUGCCGCGUGAGUGAUGAAGGCCCUAGGGUUGUAAAGCUCUUUUGUGCGGGAAGAUAAUGACGGUACCGCAAGAAUAAGCCCCGGCUAACUUCGUGCCAGCCGCCGCCGUAAUAC